AUAAAGGAAUUGAGCUGCAGUUGGAUUUCAUCAUCUAAACAUGCAAUGUAAUCUUAACCAAUUCAUUACACACUCCUUUUGUUUCCACUACAAAGGGGAUGUUGCCUUUAUCAGAGGUUGUAAUUCCAGUAUGUUCAAGCAAAGACAAGGGAGAAAUUGAAAAAGUGCUAUCAAUUCUACCCACAGCCAGGAAGAACUGUAGGGUCAGAAGGUCAUUAUCACUGUCCCAUGUACAGUUCAGACUAGACCACAGAUAGCUCAAGUUUCCACACUGCAAUAGAAAGGUAUAAUAAAGGAGACUCACAGAAAAUACUAAAUAGGAAUAGGAGUAGGGAAUCAUAUUCUUGAACACAUUUGAUUUAACACAUGAAGAAUCAAAUGAAGUGAAUCUAUUUGGAAAAUAGUCAUGGAUGCUUAAAAUUAUACUUGCUUAGAACAGUCUUGUGAAGGAGGGAAAUUUUAUUCAUGAAGGGCCAGCAUGGCAAAAAAGUGAGUCACAGAUGUCAACGUUCAUAAUCUAAAGGUCUGGAAAGGGUCAAAUGAGAAAGAGAAGGAGGAAGUAAAUAUAGAUAUAAAAGGCAGACAACUUGGCCUGAAAGGAAGGAUUAAAAAUGAAAGAAAAUGACUAAAGGAAAAGAAAAAUGUGAUACAUACUGAUGAAGAAUAAGGCUUAUGGGGAUUCAGGGAAGAGUAAAUGAAGAUAUUGAUUACCAAAUGGGGUAUUAGGGACCAAAUGAAAAUUUAGGGCCUUAAUCAGUACUUCCUAAAGAGAGUUAUCAGCUGUAAGAAAUUAGUCUUGCAGAGAGAAACAUUUAAAAAUAAUUGCUUAGUAGUAUUGUUUUGAAGUCUGUUAAAGUGAGUUCAUUUGGUACUUCUUAGUGCCAUAUUUCUUUACCACUGAGGAGAAGUCAAGGUAUUUUGAUGUCUAAGAGAGGGGGGGGGGAAGAGAAAUUAACCCAUUUCCCAAACAACUUGGAAAAUACUUUAUUUCUAAUGAUGAAUUCUACACCUUAAGGAUAUUACUUUUUUCCCAUCAGGUUUUAAACAUUUGGGACAGAAUAAUAGAACAAGGGUAUCUGCAAUAUCAGAUAUCAGAGUGAGCUUCAAAAUGAUUGGAUUAAAACCAUCUUCACUACAGUGGUGGUUUAUAAGGAAAUACACACUAUCUCAGAGUUUAUACUGUGAAUAUGAAGGAAUUGUGCUUGGGCAGUAGAUAUAAAGAUGAAUAGGCAAUCAUCUUUGUCCUAGAAGAAGCUCACAGUCUAGAGAGGAAAAAGCCAAGUGUUCAUCCAAGUAUCUCCUUCAGAAAGGCCUUGCCUGACCACCCUGUUUCUCCAGCCCCUGCCACCACCAACAGCCAUGGCAUUUAUUCACCUUUAAUAACCAUCUGACAUACCACCUAACUUUGCUAAAUUUUAGUUUAUUGUUUGUCAUUCUGUUUUAGUCUGUCCAAGCUGCUAUAACAGAAUACCAUGAACUAGGCGGCUUGUAAACAACAGAAAUUUAUUUCUCACAGUUCUGGAGGUUGGGAAGUUCAAAAUCAAGGAGCUGGCAGAUUUGAACCACAUCUUCUUUAUCCAUUCAUCUGUUGAUGGACAUUUAGGUUGCUUCCAUAUCUUGGCUAUUGUGAAUAGUGCUGCUAUGAACGUUGGCUUGUAUGUAUCUUUUUGAAUUAGAGAUUUUAGUCUUUUCUGGAUAUAUGCCCAGGAGUGGGAUUGCUGGAUCAUAUGGCAACUCUGUUUUUCAUUUUUUAAGGAAACUCCAGACUGUUUUCUGUAGUGGCUGCACCAAUUUACAUUCCCACCAACAGUGUAGGAGGGUUCCCUUUUCUCCACACCCUCUCCAGCAUUUAUUAUUUGUAGACUUUUAAAUGAUGGCCAUUCUGACUGGUGUGAGGUGAUACCUCAUUGUAGUUUUGAUUUGCAUUUCUCUCAUAAUCAGCGUUGUGGAGCAUCUUUUCAUGUGCCUGUUGACCAUCAGUUUGUCUUCUUUGCAGAAAUGUCUAUUUAGGUCUUCUGCUCAUUUUUUGAUUGGGUUGUUUGUUUUCGUGAUACUGAGUUGCAUAAGCUGUUUAUUUUGGAAAUUAAUCCCUUGUUGGUCACAUCAUUUGCAAAUAUUUUCUCCUGGUCCAUAGGUUGUCCAUGUAUCUAUCUAUCACCA